GAUGAAGAACGCAGUGAAAUGCGAUAAGUAAUGUGAAUUGCAGAAUUCAGUGAAUCAUCGAAUCUUUGAACGCACAUUGCGCCCGCCAGUAUUCUGGCGGGCAUGCCUGUUCGAGCGUCAUUUCAACCAUCAAGCCCCAGGCUUGUGUUGGGGGCCUGCAGCUGCUGCAGCCCCUAAAAGCAGUGGCGGACUCGCUGUCAUACCGAGCGCAGUAGUUACAUCUCGCUCUGGGCAUGGCGGCGGGCACCUGCCGUAAAACACUCUUUCUAAGGUUGACCUCGGAUCAGGUAGGAAUACCCGCUGAACUUAAGCAUAUCAAUAAGCGGAGGA
rnacentral:misc_RNA from 1 species